ACUAGCGCUACUUUGAAUCUGGGUCGUUCACUCUUCUCCGCUCGCUCCGUGUGAAGGACCGUUUUUAUUUUCAAGUUCAAGUUUUAAAGUUUAUUUUCAGUUUUUAUUUUAUUCCUCCUCCCCCCCCCCAGCUAAACUUGACUACACUUCACUCCUUCCCACUUGUUAAAACGUGGGAAGAAAACUUUCGACAAUUCGCGAUGUCGGGAAUGAAUUCUAACGAAUUCUGGAAGCAGAAGGAGAAUGUAAACAAAUUGAAGGCCAUUUGGACUUCGGACGACGAAAAGUCGAACUCGGAGGACGUGUUUCUCGAGGGGGGCGAUAUUAGAGGGGGUCGAGCUCCUUGUCGUCAAGAAAGUCGCUCGUGCUGCCUGGUUCAGGGACAGGAUGUAAUGAGGUAUCCAAAUCCUAAGAACUUUGACUUAAAUCAACUAUUGUCAGAGUAUGGGGCAAAGCCAAGGACGUUGUCAUCAUCAUCGAGCAACGGGUCAUUGACAUCAGUGUCAAGAUUUUCACCGCAGAACAAGGGUUGCUCCAACCAAGAAGACGCUCUGGAAUUUGCACGUCGCUAUGGAGUCGAUACGGAUGUGAAACCAAUUCUUCAUUACAGAAUUCGCAAGGGGAAAUACCGCAAAGAAUUCUGAAUUUUUGAAUUAUACCAACCUAAUAAUCGAGUUUCUAUACAUUGUCCAAUCCACUUUAAUAAUUUAGUCAGUGUUGUCAUUUAUAACUUUAAAAUUCAAGCAUCGUAUUAUCAAUUUGUUCUUAGUUCAAAAUUUCAGUAUCAAAGUUUAGUAUGAAAGUGAAGUUUUUAUGUUGCAUUUGUUACAGCUACAAAUAUUGCUGGUUGAUAUUUUAUAUGCUUAAAAGUAUACUAGUCGAUCAAUUAAAUAAUAAAUCCACGAGCAAUGUUUUUUUUAUCCCGUCUUUUUAGUUAUUUAUUAUUUGGAGUAUAAUCUACUUACUUAUAAAAUGAUAAAGGCAUAUUAAUCGAGGUAUUAUCUAAUUUUAUGUACAGCAAGAUGAUUCAUAGCCAGAACAUGGUACAUAUGCAUUUUUUGUCAUUAAAUUAUCCACCAUAAAACGAUUAUCGGUGUAUAAACUUUUCAUCACGCUUAGAGCCUCAAGCAGAGCAAUGUAUGUAUUAAUCAUUCUAUCAAAUGAUAGAAUAGUAUAGUUCUGUGGUAUUAAUACGUACUAUUACGUACAUAAUAUGGAUGUAGAUAUGUAUUUAAUAUGCAAAUAAAUAAGUAUAUGUUUUAGUGCACAUCAUUAAAA